rnacentral:rRNA from 1 species
GUGGGGAAUCUUGCGCAAUGGGCGAAAGCCUGACGCAGCCAUGCCGCGUGAAUGAUGAAGGUCUUAGGAUUGUAAAAUUCUUUCACCGGGGACGAUAAUGACGGUACCCGGAGAAGAAGCCCCGGCUAACUUCGUGCCAGCAGCUGCGGUAAUACGAAGGGGGCUAGCGUUGCUCGGAAUUACUGGGCGUAAAGGGCGCGUAGGCGGAUCGUUAAGUCAGGGGUGAAAUCCCAGAGCUCAACUCUGGAACUGCCCUUGAUACUGGCGAUCUUGAGUGUGAGAGAGGUAUGUGGAACUCCGAGUGUAGAGGUGAAAUUCGUAGAUAGUCGGAAGAACACCAGUGGCGAAGGCGACAUACUGGCUCAUUACUGACGCUGAGGCGCGAAAGCGUGGGGAGCAAACAGGAUUAGAUACCCUUGUAGUCC